GCCGCGUGGCCGAGUGCCUAAGGCAAUGGGCUUGAAAUUCAUUGGGGUCUCCCCGCACAGGUUCGAGUCCUGUCGACUGCG
rnacentral:tRNA from 1 species